rnacentral:misc_RNA from 1 species
AUUAACCAUUGCUACUCCUGUUAGCUGGUGGCCCUCUUUUAGAGCUAAUUAACAAAGAUAUUGAAGUAAGGUUAAUAGGUGUUUCAUUAUGUAUAUGAAGUCAGGUUAUAAUAAUAGCAAGAGGAAAGAAAAUCCUGGAAAAAAAAAAAAGCCAAACAAAGCCUCAGCAUACAAUUCGGUGAACGAUGAUCCAAGUAUCUAGAUAGACCAGCAGAUAUCACCCCGAAUAGAACAUCAUUAAUGGUCUGCAUUUAUGGACAAAAUCAAUGUUAUUAUAGCAGCCACAAAUCAUUAUUUAUUUGCACAGACACCACAUCACAACGCAUAGCAAUGGGAACUUAUUAGAGAGAGGUCAUUUGCUGUUGAAAUUUUCUAAUCUUGCAUUUGUUCAUCCAACUGUAUAAUUCCAGUCCCAAAUAGAAGAACCCAAGUCUAUCUAAUUUGAAUGCAUUGAGCACUAAUUAAAUCAAAGAAAAGUAAAUUUCUAUUAUUUUUUUUAAUCCUCAUUGGAGCUUAUUGGAUUAUACAUAUUGAUGAAAUUUCCAAUACAAAAAGCCAUCCGCCCAGGUUUUAUUCAUUUAUUUAUUUAUUUA